rnacentral:rRNA from 1 species
AGAGUUUGAUCCUGGCUCAGAGCGAACGCUGGCGGCAGGCCUAACACAUGCAAGUCGAACGGCUCUUCGGAGCAGUGGCGGACGGGUGAGUAACGCGUGGGAACGUGCCCUUUGGUUCGGAACAACACAGGGAAACUUGUGCUAAUACCGGAUGAGCCCUUUUGGGGAAAGAUUUAUCGCCAUUGGAGCGGCCCGCGUUGGAUUAGGUAGUUGGUGGGGUAAAGGCCUACCAAGCCUACGAUCCAUAGCUGGUCUGAGAGGAUGAUCAGCCACACUGGGACUGAGACACGGCCCAGACUCCUACGGGAGGCAGCAGUGGGGAAUCUUGCGCAAUGGGCGAAAGCCUGACGCAGCCAUGCCGCGUGUAUGAUGAAGGUCUUAGGAUUGUAAAAUACUUUCACCGGGGAAGAUAAUGACGGUACCCGGAGAAGAAGCCCCGGCUAACUUCGUGCCAGCAGCCGCGGUAAUACGAAGGGGGCUAGCGUUGCUCGGAAUUACUGGGCGUAAAGGGCGCGUAGGCGGACAGUUAAGUCAGAGGUGAAAGCCCAGGGCUCAACCUUGGAAUUGCCUUUGAUACUGGCUGUCUUGAGUUCGGGAGAGGUGAGUGGAAUGCCGAGUGUAGAGGUGAAAUUCGUAGAUAUUCGGCGGAACACCAGUGGCGAAGGCGACUCACUGGCCCGAUACUGACGCUGAGGCGCGAAAGCGUGGGAGCAAACAGGAUUAGAUACCCUGGUAGUCCACGCUGUAAACGAUGAGUGCUAGUUGUCGGCAUGCAUGCAUGUCGGUGACGCAGCUAACGC